rnacentral:rRNA from 1 species
GACGAACGCUGGCGGCGUGCUUAACACAUGCAAGUCGAGCGGUAAGGCCCUUUCGGGGUACGACGAGCGGCGAACGGUGAGUAACACGUGGGUGACCUGCCCUCAGCUCUGGGAGUAAGCCGUGGGAAACCGGGUACUAAUACUGGAUAUGACUCCAUGACGCAUGUUGGUGGGGUGGAAAGCCUUGUGCGGCUGAGGAGUGGGCCCGGCCGGCCUAUCAGCUUGUUGGUGGGGUGANGGCCUACCAAGGCGACGACGGGUAGCCGGCCUGAGAGGGCGACCGGCCACACUGGGACUGAGACACGGCCCAGACUCCUACGGGAGGCAGCAGUGGGGAAUCUUGCGCAAUGGGCGAAAGCCUG